CAGUCGCCACGGUAAUACGAAGGGGGCUAGCGUUGUUCGGAUUUACUGGGCGUAAAGCGCACGUAGGCGGACUUUUAAGUCAGGGGUGAAAUCCCGGGGCUCAACCCCGGAACUGCCUUUGAUACUGGAAGUCUUGAGUAUGGUAGAGGUGAGUGGAAUUCCGAGUGUAGAGGUGAAAUUCGUAGAUAUUCGGAGGAACACCAGUGGCGAAGGCGGCUCACUGGACCAUUACUGACGCUGAGGUGCGAAAGCGUGGGGAGCAAACAGGAUUAGAGACCCCAGUAGUCCCUGUCUCUUAUAC
rnacentral:rRNA from 1 species